rnacentral:rRNA from 1 species
UCUGGUGCCAGCAGCCGCGGUAAUUCCAGCUCCAAUAGCGUAUAUUAAAGUUGUUGCGGUUAAAAAGCUCGUAGUUGGAUUUGUGUCCCACGCCGUCGGUUCGUCGCCCGUCGACGUAACCGCACGGUUAUGUGAGUGGGACGUCCAGCCGGUGAGGCGCAGGUCUCGUCGCGGACGCGCCCCUGCCCUGGCCGGUCGACCCCCUUAAACCGGUGUGUCGAUCGCGCCUGCGGUCGGCGUGGCGUUGCCUCGCGGCGAGGUGCCGGCCUCAUAUUACUCGUCUCGGUGCUCUUAAUCGAGUGUCUUGACGGGCCGGCUCGUUUACUUUGAACAAAUUAGAGUGCUCAAAGCAGGCUCCAACGCCUGAAUAUUGUGUGCAUGGAAUAAUGGAAUAGGAUCUCGGUUCUAUUUUGUUGGUUUUCUGAACCAGAGAUAAUGAUUAAUAGAGACUGACGGGGGCAUUCGUAUUGCGACGUUAGAGGUGAAAUUCUUGGAUCGUCGCAAGACGAACCGAAGCGAAAGCAUUUGCCAAGAAUGUUUUCUUUAAUCAAGAACGAAAGUUAGAGGUUCGAAGGCGAUCAGAUACCGCCCUAGUUCUAACCAUAAACGAUGCCAACUAGCGAUCCGCCGGUGUUCCUCCGAUGACCCGGCGGGCAGCUUCCGGGAAACCAAAGUGUUUUGUGCUGAAACUUAAAGGAAUUGACGGAAGGGCACCACCAGGAGUGGAGCCUGCGGCUUAAUUUGACUCAACACGGGAAACCUCACCAGGCCCGGACACUGGAAGGAUUGACAGAUUGAUAGCUCUUUCUUGAUUCAGUGGGUGGUGGUGCAUGGCCGUUCUUAGUUGGUGGAGCGAUUUGUCUGGUUAAUUCCGAUAACGAACGAGACUCUGGCCUAUUAACUAGUCGCAAUAACGACAUCCGCAUUCGUGCUGUCGGCGACAAAUAUAAACUCUUCUUAGAGGGACAGGCGGCUUCUAGCCGCACGAGAUUGAGCAAUAACAGGUCUGUGAUGCCCUUAGAUGUUCUGGGCCGCACGCGCGCUACACUGAAGGAAUCAACGUGUGUUUUCCCUUGGCCGAGAGGUCCGGGUAACCCGCUGAACCUCCUUCGUGCUAGGGAUUGGGGCUUGCAAUUGUUCCCCAUGAACGAGGAAUUCCCAGUAAGCGCGAGUCAUAAGCUCGCGUUGAUUACGUCCCUGCCCUUUGUACACACCGCCCGUCGCUACUACCGAUUGAAUGAUUUAGUGAGGUCUUCGGACCGUCGCGCGGCAGCGCGCGCAAGCGCCUGUCGAUGUUCGACGGAAAGAUGAUCAAACUUGAUUAUUUAGAGGAAGUAAAAGUCGU